CCGGACGUGUUUUUUAAAUUAAUUGRGCUGGGGSGGCAUCUUACAUACACAAGAAAAAUUAACAUUCAUUAAUGAAAAUUUAGCUCUUAAAAAAAGAUAGAAUAAGUUACUUUAGGGAUAACAGCACAAUUUUUUCAUAUAUAUCUUAUAGAARAAAAAGACUUGUGACCUCGAUGUUGAAUUGAAGAGCCUAAUUUAAG
rnacentral:rRNA from 1 species